rnacentral:rRNA from 1 species
GCAGACUAUACAUUGACCGACCAUGAUCUAUGUGCUCAUAUAGCAAUAGAAUCAUCUUUGAGAAAACAAUUGCUGGUUCAGAUAGAUGGAAGUUCUGUCUUGCAACAUCAAUUGAUGUGCCUGCUAGAUGAGAAAGAGUGGGUAAAUGAUGAUGUAAGUACCCUUACUCAAACAUUAUAGGUGAUCAAUGCAUAUAUAUGUUGUAUAAAGGACCAAAUACAUCUCCAGAAUGAUAAUAAAGUAUAUUUUGAGAGUCCAUUUGUUACCUCACUAUUUAAACGAGAUGGCACCAUUGGAAUACAAGAAGGUAGUGCCUUCAUGACAGAGAUUGUCCUCGAAUAUAUGCAGCAUGACAUGAUUAAACUUCCAAUAAAUGCCAAUAACACACAUUGGUAUUUAGCUGUUGUGAAUACAAAAAAAUGUGAGGUUCAAGUUCUAGACUCAUUGUGCUGGAAUUCUGACAGAGAUGAUCUUGCUAAUACGCUACGAGGAAUACAAUUUCAUUUGGACCUUCUUAAAAGUCAAAAGUUGGUAAGCGACGAUUGGAAAGACGUUGAUCUUACUGAAUGGAAGAUCACAGAACAAUUACAAAAGGCAAUUCAAAAAGAUUACACAGGUAUAUAUCUUUUUUUAAUAAAAAGUAUAAAGUACUUUUUAAAUAUACUAAUAAUUGUUCGUGUUGCACAGGAAAUGAUUACUUCUUUUAGGUUUAAGUUAGCCAGCAUACUAUUAUGUUGGAAAACAAACACUGCAGCAAUGACUACAAUCGUUGAAGAAAGUGACGAUGACAGCAAGGGAGAUCCUGAUGAUGUUCAAAUAUUGGAAAGUUUAGAUGAUAAAAAAACAAAAACAAAAAUCCCAUUAUCUGUUGAAAAUAAAUACAGAUCACUAAUAUCAAUUCUUUCUAAUAUGACCUUACAUGAGUUAACAGCUGGACUCUGUAGCUUCAUUAAAUCAAUUAAUUACACCGAGAUUUUAGAGAAAGUAUGGAUCCGAAGUUCAAAACCAUAUCCAAUUAGCUUGUCUCUCAGAAAACUACAAGGAUUGCUAAAGGAUGAUUUAUCCAUGGACCGCGAUUGCUUUAAUUUGAUCAUACGGAAGAUUAUGUUGGAUGACAUCCAAACAUCACAAAAAACAAAGCAACCGAUAGCAAAGCAUUAUCUCGACAUGAAAUUUUGGAUGACUACUGAUUUUGGAAGGCACCCGGAUUUUCGUAAAAAGUUAGAUGUCGAGCAACUAGCAAAUUCUGUUCAUACCAGAACAGUGUACAUUUUGGACCCUACUCCUAUUAAUCCAAUGUACCGAUACAACCCACUCGCAAAAUAUGUGAAAAAAAUUAUAUGGAUUUCCGAACAUUUACCAAAAGCAAUGUCAAAAGCAUGCCCUGGGUCUAGAUGGAACGAGGAUAUUCUCUUAUGGCAUCAUAGAAUCCUAGAUGAUAUUCCAGUUUACAACAGGGGAACUGUUGGUUAUCUUGUUCCCCUAUUCAUGUCCACAUGGGAAGACGAAAGACCACAUUUGCCAUUUUUAAAGGAUGGAUAUGAACUCAGAAAACUAAUUUUGGGCCAACUACUAACAUUCAAGGACAAUGAAUGUGAAGAUAACAUGACUGCUGGUGUACUGGACUUCAUCAAUUGUAUUAGGAAAAUCCAAAGUUAA